UGGAUGAUAUUAAAAUCAUGUCUGUGACUAAAAAGAAAGGAGAAGCAGGGUGGCAAGGGUGGAUGAUCUCCUAAGCAACAAAUACGGUUUUUCCAUGGAGACAUCCCAUUGUGAAUGAAAGAAAGACAAGUAGAUAAUAGACAAGUUGCCAAAUCACCCUGAUGAUUGAUAUUGAGCUGGCAGAUCACUAAACAUGCCAGAUGUUUUUCAGGUUUUAAUCAUCUGCAAAUAUGAGCAUGCCAUCCAUGCAUUUAUCCAAGGAAAUCCAGCUAUUGGGAGAAGCCACUGAGAAAAUGGAAGAUCCCAAGUGAAUAAAGGAGGAGAAGUAGAAGAGGGAAAAGGCCUCAAUUUUGGUUGCAACUGUCAGAUUGAACUAAAUCAAACUGUCAUCAUCUCAAAUACUCACAAAUCAAAAAUUUCAACAAGUGGCAUAUAGCUCUACUACCAUUGCCAAGCUUGGCUUUGGAAACUAGUUGAUCUAUAGUACUGAAAAGACAUGAUUACUACCCACAGACCCUGGCAUGAGAAAUUAUAAGCAAGGAGACACGCCUCACUGCUUGUUAUUGUCUUCGUAAUAUUAGGUCUCCAGGUCAGUUGGGUCAUUUCCAUUUUUGAUAUGAAUUCAGAAGACAUCAAAUAAUUUUGGGCAGCAUUAUUAAAAAAUACAACAAAAUUUACCUUCCAUCUUAGAAUAAAUACUAAGUAUUGGUUCCAAGAAAGUAAGGGCUAGUCAAAGGGCUGGUUAAGUGACUUGCCCUGGACCACACAGCUAGGAAGUGUCUGAGGCCAUAUUUGAAUACAGGAUGUCCCCUCUCUAGACCUAACUCUCAAUCCAUUGAGUGGACCCCAGAUGCACACAACAAUAUUACUUUAAAAAAAUAAACCCUUACCUUCUGUCUUAGAAUCAAUACUAUAUAUUGGUUCUAAGGCAGAAGAGUGGAAAGAGCUAGGCAAUGGAGGUCAAGUGACUUGCCCAGGGUCACAUAGCUAGAAAGUGUCUGAGGCCAGAUUUGAACCUAGGACCUCCCAUUCUCUGGGUCUGGCUCUUAAUCCACUGAGCCACCCAGCUACCCCCAACAAUAUUACUUUUUAAAGCAGUGAAUGCAUAUUUGGAAACUUAUUGCUUUCCCCAAGUUUGGGUAUUCUGUCUAAUAAAUCCUGAGUUUAUGUGAGUUUGCAUUUCCUGCCUACUGUUGGUAGCUUUGGCUGGUAGAAACCUGGGAUAGUCUCAUCUGGGUCUAUGGAAAGAUUUAAUUUCAUUACUAAGUCCUCCAUUAGUCUAUCAAGAUGGAAGAUAUAAUUCAGGAGGGGUAAAAAUAAAGUUUCAUGGUUGUAUUAUAAAUCAGAUUCAUCAGGACAAUUGGGGGCAGGCUUUACUAAAGAGUCUAAAAAAAAAAAAACCUCAGGAUUUGAUAGUUUGCAAGACUCCACAUGAAUCAACAACGUGUCAAUGCUGUGGCAAGCAUGGUAGCCACACUAGUAAAACCAUUUUGGCAAAAGGGCUAAACCAGGUUGAAGGUAAGCAACAGUCCUCAAACAUGUCAGUGACUUAGGGGGCGUCUGCUACAACCAUGUAAAAACUCCCCCCCCCCCCCCGGUGGAAUGGAUGGAUGAGAGUAAUUUGUUCUAACAACUAUGGAGGUGGCUGAAGCAGGUGCUAUAUGGAGCACUUAGAGCUCUGUCAGACAUUGAAGACACCAAGUUCAUCCACUGCAUCCCAGGACAUUUUGCCCCUCCAUCCUGCCUUUUAUCUUCUCUUUGGAUGCCAAUGACUCUGGAAGAGAGAGUGAAGCUGACAUCUUGUGUAGCUCUGACUUUUAAAAAUCCAUAAUGUGUGUUCAAGAAGUCAAAAUUUGUGAUACCAUUAUUCCUCAAAAGACAAACAAUAAUGACUUGGGUCAUGUCACAUCUAUCCUAAUACUCCCUUCCUUCUCGUUUUUAAAGUGAGAUAGUUGGACUAGAGUACUUUGGUAUUCCCUUUCAGGUUCAAAUCUAUGGACCUAAGAUUCUAAAGUGGGUCUGGAAAACAGAGAAGACUAAAUAAAAUGCUGAUAUGAAUACAAUUUUAUCUCAAUAUCUUAUCCUUUACAAGAUGGAAGCUAUUUAAACAUUGGGACUAUCCUUUCCAUUGUUAAAGUCCAGUGACUUUAACUGGUUUUAACAGUUCCAACAUGAUUUUCUGUGCUUUCCUGGCAACCUUCAAAAAUUAAAUUCUAAGAGUCUAGUUAGUGCUGGAAAUUAAAAAGUAGGUGUGUUAAGAAAGAUAAGAAUUACUGGGUCAUGAAAUCUUAAUUCCAUGACUAGCAAUUAAGUUAUUCCUGGUGCUCUGGAUAGAAUGCUGGUCUGGGAGCCAGGAAGACCUGGGUUCAAUUCUAUCCUUUAACCUCUAU